CCCUUAGACGUUCUGGGCCGCACGCGCGCUACACUGACACAGGCAACGAGCUUUCCUUUACCGAAAGGUAUGGGUAAUCUUUUGAAACUGUGUCGUGCUGGGGAUAGAUCCUUGCAAUUUUUGAUCUUAAACGAGGAAUUCCUAGUAAGCGCGAGUCAUCAACUCGCGUUGAUUACGUCCCUGCCCUUUGUACACACCGCCCGUAGCUACUACCGAUUGAAUGGCUUAGUGAGGCCUCAGGAUCCGCGCUUAAUGUGUGGAGAAUUUGGACAAACUACGUCAUUUAGAGGAAGUAAAAGUCGUAACA
rnacentral:rRNA from 1 species